GUGCCAGCCGCCGCGGUAAUACGGAGGUGGCAAGCGUUGUUCGGAAUUACUGGGCGUAAAGGGCGCGUAGGCGGCAUAACAAGUCAGAUGUGAAAGCCCCGGGCUCAACCCGGGAACUGCAUCUGAAACUGUAUUGCUUGAGUUCUGGAGGGGGUAGUGGAAUUCCCAGUGUAGCGGUGAAAUGCGUAGAUAUUGGGAGGAACACCUGCGGCGAAGGCGGCUACCUGGACAGUGACUGACGCUGAGGCGCGAAAGCUAGGGGAGCGAACGGGAUUAGAAACCCCCGUAGUCC
rnacentral:rRNA from 1 species